ACGUAAGUGGCGAGCGUUAUCCGGAAUUACUGGGCGUAAAGCGUGCGUAGGCGGUUUAGUGUGUGGGAAUUGAAAGCCCGGGGCUCAACUCCGGAUCCGGUUCCCAAACUGCUAGACUUGAGCGUAUCAGAGGACAGCGGAAUUCCCGGUGCAGCGGUAAUAUGCGUAGAUAUCGGGAGGAACACCAGUGGCGAAGGCGGCUGUCUGGGGUAUUGCUGACGCUGAGGCACGAAAGCCAGGGGAGCGAACGGGA
rnacentral:rRNA from 1 species